UACAGGGGGUGCAAGCGUUACUCGGAUUUACUGGGCGUAAAGCGCGCGCAGGUGGUCUACUAAGUUUGGUGUGAAAGCCCUGGGCUCAACCCAGGAAGUGCACUGGAUACUGGAAGACUUGAGUGCAGGAGGGGUAGGUGGAAUUCCCGGUGUAGAGGUGAAAUUCGUAGAUAUCGGGAGGAACAACAGUGGCGAAGGCGACCUACUGGACUGCAACUGACACUUAGGCGCAAAAGCGUGGGGAGCAAACAGG
rnacentral:rRNA from 1 species